GCGGAUGGCUGGAUGGCCGCGGGCCGAUACCUUUUGGACUUCGGCGCGAGGAAAGUCCGGACUCCAUCAAGCAACGGUGCCGGGUAACGCCCGGCGGGGGCAACCCCAGGGAUAGCGCCACAGAGAACAGACCGCCCCGUAUAUCGGGGUAAGGGUGAAACGGUGGAGUAAGAGCCCACCGCGCGACUGGCAACAGAAGCGGCACGGCAAGCCCCACCGGGAGCAACGCCAAAUAGGGACCUCGCGCGGGGACUGUGUGUGCAAACAUACCGCUCGCAGGGUCGCUUGAGCCCGAGAGGUCCGGGUUGGCAGCUUGAGUGCACUGGUAACAGUGUGCCUAGAGGAAUGGUCAUCGACGGGGGUCUCCCCCUGAACAAAAUCCGGCUUACAGGCCGUCCGCGCAA
rnacentral:RNase_P_RNA from 1 species